rnacentral:rRNA from 1 species
AUGAGUGGUAGCUCAGCUUUGAGAAUGUUGCAGGGCAGAGUGUUUCUCUUAGGAAAAAAGGUUGUUGUGGCAAAGAAAGGGAAAGGGAAAAAGAAGGGCAAAGACAGUGAAAAAGCAACUGAAGGUCCUGAAAAACAGAAGCGUAAAAGAGCGCCUAACAAGAAAUCAGGUAACGUCGCACGUAAACCUGAGAAGAAGCCUGAGGAUUGUUUCAAAAAGAAGUCAAUAUUCUUUGAUUUGGAAUACUGGGGGUACAACAAGUUAAGGCAAAAUCUAGAUGUAAUGCAUAUUGAGAAAAAACAUCUGUGA